CUACACGACCGUACCGCAAACCGACACUGGUGCGCGAGAUGAGUAUUCUAAGGCGCUUGAGAGAACUCAGGAGUAGGAACUCGGCAAAUUGACACCGUAACUUCGGAAGAAGGUGUGCCUUUAGUAGGUGAACCUGUACAAGGGGAGCCCAAUGAGGUUGCAAAAAAUCGGUGGCUGCGACUGUUUAAUAAAAACACAGCACUCUGCAAACACGAAAGUGGACGUAUAGGGUGUGACGCCUGCCCGGUGCUGGAAGAUUAAAUGAUGGGGUGCAAGCUCUUGAUUGAAGUCCCAGUAAACGGCGGCCGUAACGAUAACGGUCCUAAGGUAGCGAAAUUCCUUGUCGGGUAAGUUCCGACCUGCACGAAUGGCGUAACGAUGGCCACACUGUCUCCUCCUGAGACUCAGCGAAGUUGAAAUGUUUGUGAUGAUGCAAUCUCCCCGCGGAAAGACGGAAAGACCCCAUGAACCUUUACUGUAGCUUUGUAUUGGACUUUGAACAGAUCUGUGUAGGAUAGGUGGGAGGCUUUGAAGUGUGGUCGCUAGAUCGCAUGGAGCCAACGUUGAAAUACCACCCUGGUGUGUUUGAGGUUCUAACCUAGGCCCUUAAUCCGGGUCGGGGACAGUGCAUGGUAGGCAGUUUGACUGGGGCGGUCUCCUCCCAAAGCGUAACGGAGGAGUUCGAAGGUACGCUAGGUACGGUCGGACAUCGUGCUAAUAGUGCAAUGGCAUAAGCGUGCUUAACUGCGAGACUGACAAGUCGAGCAGAUGCGAAAGCAGGACAUAGUGAUCCGGUGGUUCUGUAUGGAAGGGCCAUCGCUCAACGGAUAAAAGGUACUCUGGGGAUAACAGGCUGAUACCGCCCAAGAGUUCAUAUCGACGGCGGUGUUUGGCACCUCGAUGUCGGCUCAUCUCAUCCUGGGGCUGUAGCCGGUCCCAAGGGUAUGGCUGUUCGCCAUUUAAAGAGGUACGUGAGCUGGGUUUAAAACGUCGUGAGACAGUUUGGUCCCUAUCUUCCGUGGGCGCUGCAGAUUUGAGGAAGCCUGCUCCUAGUACGAGAGGACCGGAGUGGACACACCUCUGGUGUAUCGGUUGUCACGCCAGUGGCAUUGCCGAGUAGCUAUGUGUGGAAGAGAUAACCGCUGAAAGCAUCUAAGCGGGAAACUCGUUUCAAGAUGAGAUCUGCCGGGGCCUUGACCCCCCUAAAGAGUCGUUCAAGACCAGGACGUUGAUAGGUCGGGUGUGGAAGCGCAGUAAUGCGUUAAGCUAACCGAUACUAAUUGCUCGUGCGGCUUGACCUA
rnacentral:rRNA from 1 species